rnacentral:rRNA from 1 species
GACGAACGCUGGCGGCGUGCCUAAUACAUGCAAGUCGAACGCUUCUUUUUCACCGAACUUCGGUUCAUCGAAAAAGAGGAGUGGCGAACGGGUGAGUAACACGUGGGUAACCUGCCCAUCAGAAGGGGAUAACACUUGGAAACAGGUGCUAAUACCGUAUAAUGCUUUUUCUCGCAUGAGAGCAAGCUGAAAGGCGCUUUUGCGUCACUGAUGGAUGGACCCGCGGUGCAUUAGCUAGUUGGUGAGGUAACGGCUCACCAAGGCCACGAUGCAUAGCCGACCUGAGAGGGUGAUCGGCCACACUGGGACUGAGACACGGCCCAGACUCCUACGGGAGGCAGCAGUAGGGAAUCUUCGGCAAUGGACGAAAGUCUGACCGAGCAACGCCGCGUGAGUGAAGAAGGUUUUCGGAUCGUAAAACUCUGUUGUUAGAGAAGAACAAGGAUGAGAGUAAAAUGUUCAUCCCUUG